CAGAUGAGCUCCGCGUGUGACUGAAGUAGUAACUUAACUCUUCAGAACCAGACUAUUUAAAUCUGUGGCCUCUAAGUGGAGAACCCGAAGACCCUUUGGGUCAAUAUCUGGUUUGUGUGCUUAUUGCCAGCCAAGGACCAAGUUUCUCUGCCACAGCACGAAGGAGAGAAGGAAAGAUGGAAGUUGGUGAAAUAAAAAUUUCAGUAGCAGUGAGAAAACUGUUACAAAACGUAAGAGUUCUUUUUUUUUUUUUUUAACUUUUUUCAAGUUGAGUGCAAUUCUACAGCAUUCAGAAAGGCAAAGAG
rnacentral:lncRNA from 1 species